rnacentral:rRNA from 1 species
UACGAAGGGGGCUAGCGUUGCUCGGAAUCACUGGGCGUAAAGCGCACGUAGGCGGAUCUUUAAGUCAGGGGUGAAAUCCCAAGGCUCAACCUUGGAACUGCCUUUGAUACUGGGGAUCUCGAGUCCGGAAGAGGUGAGUGGAACUGCGAGUGUAGAGGUGAAAUUCGUAGAUAUUCGCAAGAACGCCAGUGGCGAAGGCGGCUCACUGGUCCGGUACUGACGCUGAGGUGCGAAAGCGUGGGGAGCAAACAGG